AGCUUUUCAUCCAUUUAUUUUCCCAUGAACAUUCUUCCAGCUGGAAACUUACCAAUUUUUGUCAGCUUUCAGAGCUGAUUUUACAUUGGCGUCAUGAAGCACAGGAACGGAGUCUCUCCCCUCCGGCUGAUGGGAUGUACUGGUCCAGAUGCCUCUCUCGAAUUUCUUCUCUCCAUUGCCUUUUCUCCCUCCAAGUCAAAGUUUGCAUCAUCAAAUCAUAUUCGUUCCCAACACUCGGCCUUUAUGAAACUUAAGUGUUACCUGAAACUCUACCAAAACUAGGAUUUCACUGAAGCUGACAUUAUUUGUUUUGAGAAGAAAAGUAGUCACAGAUGGCAGACCUACAACUGGUACCAAACUUCUAAACCUGAUAUCAUAGGUCAAUAAAGAACUGUGUGUGUG